rnacentral:rRNA from 1 species
UACGUAGGGGGCUAGCGUUGUCCGGAUUUAUUGGGCGUAAAGAGCGUGUAGGCGGCCAGAUAGGUCUGCUGUGAAAACUCGAGGCUCAACCUCGAGAUGUCGGCGGAAACCAUUUGGCUAGAGUCCGGAAGAGGAAAGUGGAAUUCCUGGUGUAGCGGUGAAAUGCGCAGAUAUCAGGAAGAACACCGGUGGCGAAGGCGGCCCACUGGCUCGGUACUGACGCUGAGGUGCGAAAGCGUGGGGAGCAAACAGG